GGGGUUGUGGCUCAGCAGGGGAGUGCUCACCUAGCACGUGCGAGGCCCUGGGUUCGAUCCUCAGCACCACA
rnacentral:tRNA from 1 species